CCCUUAGAUGUUCUGGGCUGCACGCGCGCUACACUGAAGCGUUCAACGAGUAUUUCACCUUGCCCGGGAGGGUUGGGUAAUCUUUUUAAAACGCUUCGUGAUGGGGAUAGAUUAUUGCAAUUAUUAAUCUUCAACGAGGAAUUCCUAGUAAGCGCGAGUCAUCAGCUCGUGCUGAUUACGUCCCUGCCCUUUGUACACACCGCCCGUCGCUCCUACCGAUUGAGUGAGCCGAUGAAACUGCCGGAUGUGGACUAUUCAUAGUCUGCAGAAGAUAUUUGAAUCGUAGCGCUUAGAGGAAGGAGAAGUCGUAACA
rnacentral:rRNA from 1 species